CACAAUAUUAAAAGAAGCAAAUGAAAGAGAAGUGAACAAAAAGAUAAAGUCAAAUCUCUCUUCAUUAUCUUCUUUUAUUUUAUCUUUCUUCUAACCGCUUACAUUC
rnacentral:ribozyme from 1 species